rnacentral:lncRNA from 1 species
UUUACUUUACUUUUACUCACAAACACUGAACUGAACACCGACGGCCAACACUUCCCUACUUCAAACUCGCUACUCGCCUGCGCAGCCCUAAACAACAAUCGAAGUAUCAGAACUCAGCAGUCAGAACUCAGCAGAUGCAAUGUAGCACUUCGACAGUGAGCGAGUCUGCUCUUAAUGCUUAGCAGAAGACAAGGAUUUGUGGUGUGUAACUGUGAUAAACUAAUUUGUGAUAUACUAAAUUUAGACUUAUGAAGUGUGUUGGUUUAAACUUUUUGUUUGAGUAAUCAUUCAUAACUUGUAAACUUCGGAUCUAGAUUUGUUUGUGUGUUCUGUUAUUCUAAAUUUUUUAAAAUUUCGGUUUUAAAUUUCGGUUUUCG